UACGUAGGUGACAAGCGUUGUCCGGAUUUACUGGGCGUAAAGAGCGCGCAGGCGGUCGUUCAAGUCGAGUGUGAAAGCCCCCGGCUCAACUGGGGAGGGUCAUUCGAUACUGAUCGACUCGAAGGCAGGAGAGGGAAGUGGAAUUCCCGGUGUAGUGGUGAAAUGCGUAGAUAUCGGGAGGAACACCAGUGGCGAAGGCGGUUGCCUGGGGCUUUGCUGACGCUGAUGCGCGAAAGCGUGGGGAGCGAUCCGG
rnacentral:rRNA from 1 species